CGGGACGGGUGAGUAAUGUCUGGGAAACGUGCCUGAUGGAGGGGGGUAACUACUGGAAACGGUAGCUAAUACCGCAUAACGUCGCAAGACCAAAGAGGGGGACCUUCGGGCCUCUUGCCAUCGGAUGUGCCCAGAUGGGAUUAGCUAGUAGGUGGGGUAACGGCUCACCUAGGCGACGAUCCCUAGCUGGUCUGAGAGGAUGACCAGCCACACUGGAACUGAGACACGGUCCAG
rnacentral:rRNA from 1 species